AACAUGCAGACCUUCUGUCCUCCAUUCCAGUCUCACUGUGGCUGGGUAAAUGUCUAUCCAGAGUAAGGCACAUGGAAUCUGAACCAAUGAGGUCUGGAGCUAACGUUAAUGCAGUUAAGCCCAUCAGCCCUCGUGACUCAUAAGAAUAAACCACUGUCGCUUGGCUUGCUGAAGACAAGACAAAACCUCCCCAAAUUCCUUUGCCUGGGACAUGCAGGAUUUUAAGGAAGACAGCGGCAGGGCAGUCCAGGAGGAUGGCGGAGCUGUGCUGUCUGUGAACCAGGGAUUGGUGUUGCUGCUCACUGUGAGUUUCAUGAGAGAGAAAUUUCCUUAUGUUUCAUGUCCAUGUGGGUCCCCAGUGCCAGGGAGCCCCUGUUUCCCUGUCUCCCCAUCUCAGUGCUCUGUUGAGGGCUAAUGAGGCUGGGUACAGAGCUGAGGGAGGAGAAGUAGGAGUCUGUGUUAGAUUAACUCUGCGUCACCUCUUGUAGCACAUGUGACCUCCUUGAGUCUCAAUUUCCAGUGAUGGGGUUAUUGUGAGGGGCAUCACAGAGCAGGGGGGGUUGUAAGUGUGCAGCCGCUCUCUGAGUCCCCCAGCCAUUUCCCCCACAUCCCUCUGGGAUUGGCCUUUGUGAUGUUGGGAACUAAGAAGGUGUUGGAGAUGGCUUGGGUGCUGUGCCGCUGUCAUCAGAGGAGACCAAAGUUAGGCAGGAAGCACUGUGAAGGCCUGUAAUGUUCCAGCGGCCUGGACUGGACACUUCUAGUGGCUCACUGUCAAAGGCUCUCGAUGUAGGAAGCUCCAGCUGCCUGGGCGAGGCCAGGCACGCAGGAUCCAAAGAUAAAGGCAUGCCCUUUAGUUGCUGUGUCUUGGCAUAGGCCUCUGAAGCAGGGACUGAGUCCAGGAACACAGGCCAUUUGGCCAGCAUUUACAUCUGGCCCGGAAACGAAGCUCCCAUGGCUCUGGGACUUGUCUAUAUCAAAAUCCAGAUGUCAGGGUCUGCCUGGGCAGAGUCCAGGGCUCCUGGAUUCUAAGACCAAAGCUCUUCUGGCACUGGGAUCUGCUCACUUCCUCCCAUGCUGCUGCUUCUCUUUUUAUUUGUCAUCUCUCUAUCUAUCUAUCUAUCGAUCUAUCUAUCUAUUAUUAAUUUUUUGAGACGGUGUUUCUCUGUGUAACAGUCCUAGCUGUCCUAGAACUCGCUCUUGUAGACCAGGCUGGCUUCAAACACACAGAGAUCUACCUGCCUCUGUCUACCGAAUGCACCCAGAAAGGCAUGCAGCACCAGCCUCUCCCCAGUCCUCGGCCAGAGCGAGCACGUUACCCCUCAGCCCCAUUUGCAGGAGCAGGACAGUGCACCCAGCCAGAAAGCCGCGGCCUAGAGGUCUACCGUGAUUCCUGCCCCGAGCAUCUCAAAAGCCGAGCGGUGCAGGGCACGGUGUUCGCUUACCCUCUACCUCCCGCUCACCUCUCCUCCGUGGGUCCCUCCUCUCCUCCGUGGGGCCCGCCCUCUCCUCCGUGGGUCCCGCCUCUCCUCCGUGGGGCCCUCCUCUUCUCCGUGGGUCCCGCCUCUUCUCUGUGGUGUCUGCCUUCCCUACGCGGUGUCUACAUCCCUUCCACGGCCCACAGGAUAGGGCCAGUUUUCCUCCCUUUUAAUAAAUUGGCUCGCUAAUUUUUUGUGGAAGCUGCUUGGAGUUUUCCAGAUUCGCCUGAAGAUACCUAACUUUCCCGGCGGAGCACGAUAACUACAGCAUACUUUCAAGGCCUGCAGGCCAGGCUCUCCCACCCUUCUGCCACCUGGCCUGCAGUCCAGACUCCACUAACUGCAGACUUGUGUCCGUGGAACACACCCUGCCUAUCUUCAAGUGACCCUGAAUAAGAACAUUCUGUGGCCUGGUUACUAGGCAACGACCCCUCCCUCAUUGUCCUGCAUUCCUCUGCCCCCAUCCCCCUGCCUCAUUUCCCUAUAUAAGCUUGUAUGAAAUCCUCAAUAAACAGAGCUCAAUCA